UCUACGUAGGUGAACUUUCGGAGGGAUCAUUACUGAGUGAGGGCCUCCCCGGCCAGACCUCCAACCCUUUGUGAACACAACUUGUUGCUUCGGGGGCGACCCUGCCGUUUCGACGGCGAGCGCCCCCGGAGGCCUUCAAACACUGCAUCUUUGCGUCGGAGUUUAAGUAAAUUUAAACAAAACUUUCAACAACGGAUCUCUUGGUUCUGGCAUCGAUGAAGAACGCAGC
rnacentral:misc_RNA from 1 species